GAUGAACGCUGGCGGCGUGCCUAAUACAUGCAAGUCGAGCGAACGGACGAGAAGCUUGCUUUUCUGAUGUUAGUGGCGGACGGGUGAGUAACACGUGGAUAACCUACCUAUAAGACUGGGAUAACUUCGGGAAACCGGAGCUAAUACCGGAUAAUAUUUUGAACCGCAUGGUUCAAAAGUGAAAGACGGUCUUGCUGUCACUUAUAGAUGGAUCCGCGCUGCAUUAGCUAGUUGGUAAGGUAACGGCUUACCAAGGCAACGAUGCAUAGCCGACCUGAGAGGGUGAUCGGCCACACUCGAACUGAGACACGGUCCAGACUCCUACGGGAGGCAGCAGUAGGGAAUCUUCCGCAAUGGGCGAAAGCCUGACGGAGCAACGCCGCGUGAGUGAUGAAGGUCUUCGGAUCGUAAAACUCUGUUAUUAGGGAAGAACAUAUGUGUAAGUAACUGUGCACAUCUUGACGGUACCUAAUCAGAAAGCCACGGCUAACUACGUG
rnacentral:rRNA from 1 species